rnacentral:rRNA from 1 species
GAUGAACGCUGGCGGCGUGCCUAAUACAUGCCAGUCGAGCGAACAGACGAGAGUGCUUGCACUCUCUGACGUUAGCGGCGGACGGGUGAGUAACACGUGGGUAACCUACCUAUAAGACUGGGAUAACUUCGGGAAACCGGAGCUAAUACCGGAUAAUAUUUAGCUUCGCAUGAAGCAAUAGUGAAAGACGGUUCUGCUGUCACUUAUAGAUGGACCCGCGGUGUAUUAGCUAGUUGGUGAGGUAACGGCUCACCAAGGCAACGAUACAUAGCCGACCUGAGAGGGUGAUCGGCCACACUGGGACUGAGACACGGCCCAGACUCCUACGGGAGGCAGCAGUAGGGAAUCUUCCGCAAUGGACGGAAGUCUGACGGAGCAAUGCCGCGUGAGUGAAGAAGGUUUUCGGAUCGUAAAACUCUGUUGUAAGGGAAGAACAAGUACGUUAGUAACUGAACGUACCUUGACGGUACCUUACCAGAAAGCCACGGCUAACUACGUG